GCCAGGCAUGGUGGCACACGCCUGUAAUCCCAGCAGCUCGGGAGGCUGAGGCAGGAGGAUCAUGAGUUCAAAGCCAGCCUCAGCAAUGGUGAGGUGCUAAGCAACUCAGUGAGACCCUGUCUCUA
rnacentral:sRNA from 1 species